GGGUGCGAUCAUACCAGCACUAAUGCACCGGAUCCCAUCAGAACUCCGAAGUUAAGCGUGCUUGGGCGAGAGUAGUACUAGGACGGGUGACCUCCUGGGAAGUCCUCGUGUUGCACUCC
rnacentral:rRNA from 1 species